rnacentral:sRNA from 1 species
AAUAGGGGAGCGAAGGCUAAAACCAUCAGAACCUGUGAUAACGCCUUCGUACCAACAUCGUGUCGC